rnacentral:rRNA from 1 species
CAGAAUUGUCUUCAUAAGCAGACUGGGCGCAAUGUUCAUGCAUAUGUGGAUGAUAUUGUGAUAAAGUCCAGGAAGGAGGAAACAUUGAUAGAUGAUUUCAGAGAAACCUUUGACAACCUCCGGGUUUACAAGAUGAUGCUCAAUCCGGAAAAGUGUGUCUUUGGUGUCCCGGCAGGCAAACUCUUGGGUUUUCUGGUGUCAAACAGAGGCAUUGAGGCUAAUUCGGAAAAAAUCUCAGCAAUUACAUCUUUGGCUAAAUCGGCGUGUAUCAAUGAUGUUCAACGUUUGGCCGGUCGGAUUGCGGCUUUGAGCCGGCGUGUAUCAAUACCUUUGAACAGAGGAGGAGUUGGCUAUUCCUGA